GGUGAACGCUGGCGGCGUGCCUAAUACAUGCAAGUCGAGCGAACGGACGAGAAGCUUGCUUCUCUGAUGUUAGCGGCGGACGGGUGAGUAACACGUGGAUAACCUACCUAUAAGACUGGGAUAACUUCGGGAAACCGGAGCUAAUACCGGAUGAUAUUUUGAACCGCAUGGUUCAAAAGUGAAAGACGGUCUUGCUGUCACUUAUAGAUGGAUCCGCGCUGCAUUAGCUAGUUGGUAAGGUAACGGCUUACCAAGGCAACGAUGCAUAGCCGACCUGAGAGGGUGAUCGGCCACACUGGAACUGAGACACGGUCCAGACUCCUACGGGAGGCAGCAGUAGGGAAUCUUCCGCAAUGGUCGAAAGCCUGACGGAGCAACGCCGCGUGAGUGAUGAAGGUCUUCGGAUCGUAAAACUCUGUUAUUAGGGAAGAACAUAUGUGUAAGUAACUGUGCACAUCUUGACGGUACCUAAUCAGAAAGCCACGGCUAACUACGUG
rnacentral:rRNA from 1 species